rnacentral:lncRNA from 1 species
CACUAUGCCUCAUUGGAUUGGACUAUGUUAAAUAGUCCUUGAAACUUAUGUUUGGUAAGGGAGGGGAUUAAUUUAAAUGGGAUUGUAUAGUCCAAAGCGGAAAAAAAAAUGGGACUCGCUUGGCUAAUAGAGCGAGCCCGAAAUAUGGUUCUCAAAAUAGCGAUGGUGCUAUUUUGAACAUGCGAGUCCGACUGAAUACCACCAUCAAACACACAAACUUGACCACCACCACCAUGAGUCCACGAUCAUCAGACCACCACCAUCAAACCCAUAACCAGCAACACAGACCCAAUCAAACCAUCAUCACCACCCAGUUAGUCAAACAAAGCAUCAAAACCACCCAUAAUUAGCCACCACAUACUCAGUUCAACAACCAUCACCACCAAAUUGAACCAUCACAACUAUUAAUUAGUGGAACCGGAGAGAGAGGAGGGUGGGUGUUUGCAACCACCACAAACCCAGAAGUGAAUCUGGCUCUCUUAAAAGUUUGGGUGAGGCAUGAAGAGAGAAUAAAAAGGAAGGAAGUAAGAAGAAAAGAGAAAGGAAAGAAUAGGAAGAAGGAACGGCCUGGAAAGGAAGAACGCAAAAAAAAAAAAGGGAGGCUUGGGAAGGAAGAAGAAAGGAGGAAGAAGGAAAAAAGAAGAAGAAAGGAACGGGCCAAGAAGGAAGGAAGAAGAAAGGAGGAAGAAGAAAAAAAAGAAGAAGAAGAAAGGAACGGGCCAAGAAGGAAGGAAGAAGAAAAGUCAAUGGGGAAAAGAGGAAGGAAGAAAGAAAAGGGGAAAAAGAAAAAAGAAAAAGAAAAAAAAGAGAUGAGAUAGUUUAAGCCUGUUAAAAAUGUUAGAAUUUAUUUGUUUUCUUUUUAUUUAUUUUUAUGUCAAAAAAGCCUUAAUUAAAAUUAAAUAAUAGAAUUUUAUUAAUUAAAAUUAAUUAUUAAAAAAAUUAUUUUUUAGUCCGACACAACACCAAACAUAGGUCUUCACUAUUUUUACAAUCCAACUUCUUAGUCCGACACAGCACCAAACGUAGGUCAG